AGAGAAGAAAUUGGCAGAAUCACUGAAGUAACCUACAGAGAAAAAUACACAUGCUAGGGAAAGAAUUUGGCGUCAGAUUAGUGUAAAGAUCUAUAGGACCAAGCUGUUAAGAGACAGCCAGGAGGCUGUUUCUCUAUCACAAACCAGGCAAUGCUGCAUCCACAAGGCAUCACCACUCUUCAGAGCUUUGUCCAGGUGAAAGCAAGGUGAACCUGCCCAGACAUCACCUAUCCAGCACAAGCUCUUCCCCGGUGGAGGUCACAAGGCGUGUCCCUCUUAACAGCACGGGCCCCAGGAGAGAUGGCUGCACCCGUGGCAGACCUAAAGGAGGUCAGGAAAACAAGAAGUGGAGAGGGCAGAGCCUGAGGAAGGGGAAAGGGAUGCUGGAACCUGCUCCUGACACCCCUUUCCCACUUCUGUUCCUCCACCUCCUGCUCUUGGAAUCACCGUGGCUGCACACCCCCACCCCAUCUGCAAAACCCCCCACACAGUGGUGGGAUAAUGAGGAGAAGUCCUCAGUUCUUCCACACUUUGGGAGCUCUUGCUGGACUGCCCUGGGCUCUUUCCUCCCUGGAAAGCCCUCUUCAUGUUGUCUAGCUGACUACGACUUCUCACUCCAUCUUGGCCUCUUCCAGGAAGGAGAGCACCCUGGAUCCCUGGGCUAUGCUGGUCGUCCGGUUCUGAACGCCCACAGGACCCGCUGCACCUUUCAGAGAAGAGUCACAAGUUUUUGCAGUUGCAUCCUUGGUGUGUAGAAAAGUGCUUGACUUACAUUUGACUGAUUUUAGAUGAAUAAAGGAAAGAAUUUUUACCUGUUUCUAGGCUGUUCUGUGCUAGAAUGUAAAUUCCCUAAGAAAACUGUCUGGCGCUCAAUUCAGCACCAGGCAUGCAGUGGGAGCUCAAUAAUAUUUAACCAACUGGCCCUAAAUGUCUGGCAUUAUACUAACAGAUUCAGGGCAGUAGGUCUGAUUAAAGGGAGCUGAGGUCAAGAAAUGGCUUCAGGGUUCAGAAGACACCCCAACUGUGACCACACUUGAAUGGAUUCCCAGGAUCUUCCUGGACAUGGGU